rnacentral:tRNA from 1 species
GGAAGGGGAUAGGGCCCGGUGGCCCUGCUGGUCUUCAAAACCAUGCUGUCGCCGUAACCGGGGACGGGUGGGUUCGACUCCCUCCUCCUUCCGCCA